UUCUGGGAGAAUUUACGAAUUGAGAGCUCUUUCUUUAUUCGGUGGAUGGUGGACCAUGUCCGUUCUUGGUUGGUGCAGCGAUUUGUCUGGUUGAUUUCGAUAACGAACGAGACUCUAGUCUAUUAAAUAGGUGCGUGGUUCUCUGCACCUUGCACCUUUCUCAGAGGGACAAGCGGCUCCUAGCCGCACGAAACAGAGCAAUAACAGUUCGGUGAUGCCCUUAGAU
rnacentral:rRNA from 1 species